ACGCAUACAGAAGUAAGCCCAUGUGAAGACACAGUGAGAAGGUGGCCAUCUGCAAGCCAGAAGAGAGCCCUCACAGGGAACUGAAUCAGCCAGCACCUUGAUGAUGGACUUCUAGCCUUUAGAAUUAACGUAGAGAGUAAAGAAUGAAGGUCGUCCUCUUCCCUUGAUCCAACUCCAUCCUCAACAGUUAGCCACUGUCAUCUGCAGCUGGGUACACAUUCUGUCAGAGACUUUUCUGCUUGUACACACAGAAGGCCACAGGACAGACCUGGGAACUCCUAGAUCCCCUGGCGGCUGCCCUGACCACUGAUCUCCUGGGGGCCUGAUUUCUGGAUCUGCCCGGAGAAAGAUUUACCACAGCUGCUCAAGGAAGAUGGAACCAGAACAAGAAAUUUUCCACUUGAACUUAUGGAAACAGUAAACUCAUUCAGGUACAAUCAAGAAAAAACCAAUCAAAAUAAGAGAUGAAGUCCCAUUUAGGAUGAAACCAGCUGAUAGAGGAAUGUUGGCAGCCUUCACACAUGCUUCAUGCCCUGAGCCCAAUGGGGGAAGAGUGAUGUCCGCUUCCACUGUUUUCAGCAUCCCUUGGAUGAUCCAGCUUCUGGAUAGGCACCUAUCAACCCACCACCAUGGUUCUCUGAUUUGCAAAAUAUCAACCCAAUAGGACUGUGAUUAAAAUCAAUGAGGCACUCCAGUCUAAUCAUGAGAAAAACAUCAGAAAAAUUCCAAUGGAAGGGCAUUCUACAAAAUGCCUGAUCUGUCUGUUCCUCAAAACUGUCAAGGUCAUCAAAAACAAGGAAAGACUGAGAAACUGUCAUAGCCAAGAGAAGCCUAAGGAAAAAUGACAAGUAAAUGGUAUCCUAGAUGGUAUCCUGGAAAACAAAAUGGGCAUUGGAUAAGAACUAAGGAAAUCUGAAUAAAGUGGGGACUUUAGUUAAUAAGAAGGGAUCAAUAUUGGUUCAAUAAUUGUAACAAAUGUACCAUACUAAUGUAGACGUUAAUAAUGGGAGAAACUGGGUUCAGGGUAUAUGGGAACUCUCUGUACUGUUUCUUAAUUUUUUUGUGAAUCUAAAACUGUUCUAAAAAAUAAAGUCUAUUUCUAAAAACUCAGGUGAGGAAACACAUAUAAGGGUUCAUAGUUGGUGCUCCGUAAAUGUUACCUCUUCUCUUCUGGACACUGUGGACAUGAGAACAAACUGUUAUCCAUGUCCUCCUAUAUCUUUUCCCCCUUCCUAAUUCACCAGAGGAUUCUGGGGAAAAUGCAAGCCACCCCCGUAUUCUCAUUUGUAGGUUGCCAGGAGUAAGAAUGGUUACACUUGGUUUAAGGUUAUUUUAAUUAUGUCUAUGAGAUAGUUUCUGCUACAUGUAGAAUGAUUCUUGUUAGACCCUAUUAGGGUUCUUCUGGUCCAAAUCCCCCCAAAAUAACCUUACAAACCCUUAAACCAAUUCAAUGUGUCAGUAACUACCUAUGUAAAUUCAUUUUGGCUCCUUGCAAGAAACUUUGGUAUGUUAAAGGUAUUUUACAAUUAAGAACAAGAUCUAUAUAAAAUUUUUUUUUGUAAAUACAAUGUACAAGCUAUCCAAAUGGGUUCGUAUGCCUCGAGCAGAAAGAAUUUCUCUCUCUUUUUUCUGGCUUGGUUCUUUAGAAAAGUGUUUCUUCUUACUUCACUUUUCAGCCUCUCUUUUACUGUACCAACAACUCACGACCCAAAGAUGAAAUAAUUAAAGACUUGACUUUUUAGAAUAUAGGUGAACGUAUGGAAAAUUAAAAUCUUGUUUUUCCAAGUUAUA